rnacentral:tRNA from 1 species
GGCGCUAUAGUGUAGUGGUUAUCACUUGGGAUUCUGAAGAGGGUUCCCAAAACCCAGGUUCGAGCCCUGGUAGCGCCU